GUUUGGAGCAGAGAAUGAAAUACAGAGAGGCGGAGCUGAGAUCUGUUGUCGCAAUGUGAAAAAAACAUCUUGGCUGUCAGUGCAGAGAACACUUCCAGAGAGAACCAUAAAUGGUCUGUGGAAUUACUCCUUUUCUACCUGGUAUGAUAGAGUAAUUGUUCUCUAAAAAGCCCUGUUAUUAUUGUAAUGGCACUAGGUGCUCUUCUUUAGACUUUUCUUGUUUAUAUUAUAGUAUUUAUUUAGAACUAAAUAUUAGAGAACUCAUGGGCAAUGAGGCAAUCCAGGAUGUGAGUUGCCUAUGCAUUUUGCCCAAUUAAUUCCCUAGAAAGCUGAAAAAAAUUAAAAUUAAAAAACAAAAAAGUUCUGUUAUGUACUGGGAAGAACUUGGAUUUUGAAGCUAGAGAUCUGUAAUCAAAUCAUAGCUUACCAAAAUUCUAGUUGUAUGUCAGUUGCUAAUUUUUAUAAACCAUAUGAACCUCUUUUUGCUUAUCUGUAAAUUGGAAAUAAUAGUUCACUAAGUGGUUGUGACUAUAUACAUACAUAUACAUACGCACUCCAAAAGGAACCUACCCACACCUGACACAUUGAAAUAUUAGUAAAUAUGACUUACUCUUCUAUGGCAAAGCACUGUACGUCAUUGGUGGUAAUAGUAUUAAGGGGUAUUUAUAGCAACUCUGUUAAAAUUAGAUUGGAAAUAAAACUCUAGGUGUUCCUACUUAGGAAAUCAUUUUACAUUGUUUUAAAGAAGAUACACUCAAUUUUGACAGCUGUAAGUGAUUGGGAAUUCCUGAUGCAUUAUGGCACUUAGACUAUAGGUUAGGGUCAACAAACUAUAAAGGACACGAUAAUAAGUAUUUUAGACUUUGUGAAUCAUAUGUUCUUGUUUGCAACUGCUCAAUUCUGCUGUUACACUAGCAUGAAAGUAACCACAGACAAUAUAUAAACAAAUGAGCAUAGCUUUAUUCCAAUAGCCGUUUAUUUACAAAAGACAGGUGGUUGACCUUAUUUGGCACAUGACCCCUGCAAUAUAUCAUAGGUGGUAUAAUUUGUGACUGUAGAUUAUUAGGUAGUAUUGCAGACAUGAAAACACUACUUAAUACUGGAUUGAUGAAGCGGUGUGUCUGCAAGUAUAUGUAUGUAUAUGUAUAUUUUAUUUCUAAGUUUUUGGGAGUCUUACUUCCAAUGAUUAGGACAACAGGAGGAAUUUAGAUAAUGCAUUAUAAAUUACUUCUUGGAGAUGCAUCUGCAAGAAUACAUUUUUAAAAAGGAUUAUGAAAUCUUACCUUAGUAUUCUCCAGCUGAUAGUAAGAAUGCUUCACACUCUAAUAUUGUGCAAUCCAAAUUUUUUUUUUAAGAACUAAGAAGGUACAUCUCUUUCUGUUAUCAUGUUUGUCAUGGAGCAAGAGAUGGAGUCUCCGUGUAGAUAACCCCUAACCAAGUAAGCUCAACAUACUGAAAUAUGCUGACAAAGUGUGGGAUAUAGGAAAUGAUUCUGCAGGUCAUGGCAGGAUUUUCCACAGGUAUUUUUGAAAAAUAAACACCUGUCCUAUUUAAAAUAAAAUGCAGUUGAUAGAAAUCAAUUUGCCCACUCAGCUAUGACACAUCUCUCGGUACAUCUGUACUUUAUAUUUUCACGGAACUAUCUCCUGGGGUUUAUAUCUUCUAGGACAUCUUCUAAAUACUGUAAUAUCAGGGUCCAGGCAGUAAUAGCAUCUACAUAUAAAAUAGAGGAUAUAUACAUUUGUAUAUUUAUAUAUAUAUACAUAUAUAUAUACACACACACACAUAAAACAUGCACGUUUUAAUAAGAACUUUCAAUAUUUCUGCCAUUGAUGUCUCUUCUGGGAAUUUCAUGCAACAUUUUUUCAUAGUUUUCAUAAUUUCAUGAUCACUCCAGCCCAUGGUUACUUUUCUGACCUUUUUGAUCUCCUGUGUGUUAACCAUCAAAACCAUCUCAUCCAGUUUUAUACACCUGGGUCCUGUGUUAUAAAAACUUUGUGAGAAGAUUGCAAUAAUGGGUUCUCUCACCACUCUGGUUCCACAUUAUCCACUCUGUCUUAGAAAUAUAAUUUUAUUCUUUAAAUCCUUAUUUUUUAAGAACUCAGUAUUUUGCCUUUCUUUCUAAAAAGCUAAUUAUGUAUUUCUUCAGUCCUUACAAUAAGUGGUCAAUUGAAUAAAAAUGUGUGUCCAAACAUUAGUGCAAACCUGUAGUUUACGGGUCAUAUAAAUACAGUGAAACAAUUCUUCUUAAGCAUAGAGUACAAAAUUAUGAAGUACCAAUAAAUAUUGCCCUAAAAAUUAAGCAGAUUGAUUUUUUAAAGAUUUUAUUUAUUUAUUUGAGAGAACAUAAGCAUGGGGGAGAGGGAAAAGCAGACUGCCACUAGCAGGGAGCCCAACCUGGAAUUCGAUCCCGAGUCUAUGACUUAAACCAAAGAUAGACACUCAACCGACUGAGCUGCUCAGGUACCCACAAAUUGAUUUUUUUUUUAAUCUGUUAAAUCCAUUCUUUUUUUUUUUUUUUUUUUAAAUCCAUUCUUUUAAAGGCUGUUUAUAUAGGCAAUUCAAACUUACAUUUGGAAGCCAUUUGGUGUACAACAUUUUCAUUAAACUAAAUUAUAGAGUAGACACUGUACUGGAUUCCAGAGAAGCAGAUAUGACUACAACAGGGCCCAGCAUGAGAGGAACUUUCUUGGAGAGCAGAUGAAUUUGACUGCUACGUGGUAGAGUCUCCUCAUAUAAGAAGCCAUUCCAUGGUUUCCAAAUCUAAGACUCCAUCUCUUUCUAUAUUAUUCUGUGCUUAGAUCAUAAUAUUUGUCUUGAAUUUAAGCUGUUUUUCUCCCCAAUGCCCAUCCAUAUUGUGCCCCAAUUAUUCUAAUCUUACCCAUUUUGUUAGCCCUAGCUUAAAUCUUACUUUUUCUCAGGAGUCUUUUUCUACUAUUCAGUCAUAUCAGCCAACCACAUUGAAUUCUUUGAAUUGGCCUAAUGCAGCUUUGUAGAGAACAUGAUCCGACUGCCUAGUGCAUAGUCCAUUACAGUUCAAUGUAUGGAUCAGUCCCUGUUCCCAAUGGUUCUCUUGAUUCAUUUUGAUUCCUAUACACCAAAAGUCUGGCAUGUAGUAAGAACUCUUUCAUUCUAUAAUCACUUUCAGAUUUCAUUUGCUUUCUUUUUUAUGAACAUGAUAAAGUCUUCUCCUCUGGAUCUUGAUAUUUUCUGCUCUUAAAGCAGUACUUAUGUAUUUCAUGGGGACCAGAUAGACUCAUCAGGUGAUACAAGGAACAGAAGAACAAUUGUUUUUCAUUAGUUCCCCCAGUAAGAUAUAGUUCAGAGAUGCUUAUUGCUUUAACUGCAUUCCUGAUUUCUGAAAGGCCCUUUAAAAGAAUCACCUCCAGUGGCAAAAUGGAGGCUCUGUGUGGGCCUCUCUCUUCUGCAACAGCAGGGAAUAUGUGUGCAUUAACAACAACAACAAAUACUCUGAAAGAAUAUAUUUUAUGAAGCCUGUGCUAGAUCAGAGUAGACUGAGCAUGACUCAGUGUUAGGGUUUUAAAAUUGCUUUGGAAAGAAGAUAGCCUGUUUUUAUUUCUUUGUCAUCUAACAUUGUUAUCAUGAGAAACAAUUAAUUUGCUUUAUUUUAUGUUCCUGUUAUAAUCUCUGUUGUGAGACAGAGCUGUGGCAUUUUGCCGUAAUCAUAAGAACAGAUAAACAGCACUACAGUGCCUAGGGAAGAUUACAUUAUUUCCAACUAUAGGCAGCCUGAGAAAUGUAACAAUGAGUUGACCUGGUUUUUGGCCAGUGACAGAGCUUGGGAUAGAUGAUUUAAAACAUUUAUCCAUCACCCAGUCCAAUUUCUUCAGUGGAAGUGCUGAAAACUAAGGCGCAAGUCCUAGGCCCUGUCGUACUCAUUUCCAGGAUGGCAUAAUUGACAUUUCCUAGAACAGUCAGCAGGACACUUAGGUUAUUAGUUCCCUCUCCCUUUGUCUUUCUCUCUCUUGCUCUCUCCCCUUUUCUUUCUCUAAAGAGUGAGACACCUUUACACCUAUUCUCCAUCUAGCCAAAUCUAAAUCAUCCAGCAAGACUUCAGAUUGGCAUUCAUCUCCCCAGGAUUCAGUGCCAGUGGGAGUUUGGAAACAUGGUUUUAGAGACUCAUUCAACCCUGAGAUUCUGUGGUUCAUGUUAUUUUGGAUCUCUCCAAUUUUUUCUUUUAAAAUUUCGUAAAACUUCCAGGAUGCAGUAGCCUCUCUCAAUUAUUUUGCUGUAAAAUACUGUUUUCUUGUACUUUGGAUAAGCCCAUAGUUCCAGGUGCUUAUCUAGCAGUCAAUUCUAAAUUACAAUGGUCAGGUUGUUGUUGUUGUUAUUUAUUGUUAUUAUUAUCAUUCUGCUUUUGAAAGAAUUGGAUAUGCCCUUAAAAUUAGGAAUACUACCCCCCGACACACACACUUUAAAGUAAAAGUCUAUAUAAAAUUUAAGUUGCGAAAUUUUAGCUUUCCUUAUAAUACCAUGUUCCCAGGGAGUAUUUGUACUACUUGUGGAUCCUCAUGAAGUAUGAAGAAUAUGCACACAUCAUGCCCUACCCCUGUUUAACCUGUGUCAAAACCACCUUUGGAUUACAUACACCUAAUAUUCUGGUUCUUUAACUGGGGUUUCCUUUAGGACCUACAGGGUCCUGUAUGUCUAAAGAUUUGUUUAUCAGUAUAAUAGCUAGCAUUUACCAAAUAUGUUUAAGGACUAAACAUGUUGAUAAGCACACAUAUAUAUUCUUUCUCCUUGAACCCUUUAGACACUCCUUACUGAGGUACAGUAGUUUUUUUUUCCAUUUGGCAGAAGAAGAAACUGAGAUUAGGAGCUGUGAAGCAACUUCCUCAGUGUACGAUAAAUUCUUCCUGCUUUAUGUUCUUUUUAUUUAUUUUCUUGAGUUUAUUUGACAAAUAUUUAUUUAGCACCUAUUUUGUAGCGGGUACUGCGCUUAACUCUAGGCAUAUAGGGGUAGGCAAGAACAGAAGUGAUCUAUGUUGUUGUGGAGCUAUUUCAUAAGUAGGUGAUGGAAAUAGAAUCCUUAUCCAGGUCCAUCCUACUCUAAGGAUGAACUCUUCAACAUUCAGUGUGUCUUUUAAAAAACAUUUUUGUUUCUUCCCGCAUCACAAUUAAGAAUGUAAUAGGGACAGUGAGUAUGAGUGAAGUUCUAACGUGAUCUCUGCUUGAUGGACUCCUUCCUAUUCUUUGAUGAGAAUGAAGCUCUUCUAUCUUAGGCUCGCUGCCUCUGCUACCUUGGCCUGCAGAAAGGCCCGAAUACUGGCCCAUUGGAGUGGUAACAUCCUGCCUUUGAAUAUUUAUGCUCCUGGACCUCACAGAUUUUUUCACUUCCUUGAAGUCCUCUCUUAAUAUGUUCAAACCUGCUGCCUAGGUAAGAGCUGACCAGUGUGACUAUUUCUACACCACACCCCAGACCUUCUCUGGGGAAGGAGAAUCCUUAUCUCAGCACCCUGGAAACUAUUAAGAACAUUUGAAGUAGGGAAAAUUUUUCUUAGACUAUUUCUAGUUUGUGUUGGCUUUAAUGCAUUUUAUUUUUCAGGUGACCCUAAGCUGGGUCCUGCAGGAGUUAAAAGUCAAGUGGGCCUUCCUGACAGUUACAGAGAGAGAGAGAGAGAGAGAGAGAGAAAGAGAGAGAUCUGUGAGGAGCUUUCUCUUUCACACUCUGACCAUUUUAUGAGAAAUGGAGGUUCAAGGAAUUGAUUUUACUCUACCACUACUUCACUGUGGCUUUCAAUGUGACAUAUUCAUAUGGUGUUCAAAGGUUGGAAAGAAGUGAAUCCUGGAGUACAGAGAGAAAUAUAAAAGACAGAGGCAAAAGCAAAGACAAAAGGGGAAAAACAGGAUGAGGUCAGCACAUGAAAGUGUUUUCUUUCUCCCCUCCUGGGCUGCUUUCACAAUGCUGCCACACCACGGUGGCUGUCUUCCUCAGUACUUUGCUAAAGGGCUCUGAUUGGGUAGGAAACUUGACUGCACUAGAGGACAUCAAACAUCCAGGAAUCCUUUGGUCUUACCCAGGUGCCAGCAGCUGGUUCUUGUGCUUCUGUUCUCCUGUUCGCCACAUUUUGCUGGUGGAGUCCAGUUUGCUUUAGAUACUCAGUUACCUCUUUCACAAAGGAAAGAGGGUGUUGGAUAGAAAAUGACCAUCCUUUUCAGUACGUGAAACAAAGAGGAACUGCCCUGUCUUCCGUCAUGAGAAACUUGUGCUGGCAUAUUGGAUUCAUGUGCAUAAGUCUAGUUUUUUAUUAAUUUCUGUUAUGUUUUUAGCAUACUUGAUGUGCUUGUAAAAUUGAGCAGGCUCAGGAAGCCCAUAGAGUCCCAUUAAGUGAUCAUGGCUGAUUGUGUUUGAAUUCUAAACUGGUGAACAUCUCCUAACAAAGUAGUGUACCUAUCAAGGUGAGCAAGAGUUUCCCACUGACUGAAUCAAAUGGACAUACUUUGUUUCUGUUUUUACAUGAAUUCUCUGCAUUGUCUGACUCAGGUCAUUAAUUUCUCUUCUCAGAUACCCUAUUUUCCUUCUUCUGAAUCUCUGGUUAUACUUUCUCUGACUCUUGGAUUCCUCACCCUCUGUUUACUUUUGAAAUACUAUUAUUUAUCAGAUUCCUUCUUCACUUCACCUGGCUGAUCUCCUCACUCUGCCUACUUGCCUGUUGAUUUCCCUACUCCCAUAAUUCAUAUGAUAAUAGCAAGAUUUGCAUGUUAAGUCAUUCACCGUGCUGCAGUAGCUUUACUUAUUUGGCUCCUGACUCGAGAAUCACCACCUGGUCUCUGCUCCUCUUUUGUCUCAGUUUUGACAACAAUUAAAUAAUUAACUUUUGGCUAUAGGAAAACAUAGACCUAAGACCUGCUUUUACCAGAAAGGAGACUUCUCUUUUUUGACUGUAACUAAUGGCCUUCAUUUCUCUGGCUGGACCAUGAACCAACUCCCCUGAACUCCAGAACUGACUACCAGCUUGUUAGGAUUUCCCAUUUGGUAUUCUAUUGUCAAAGACACAAAACUGAACUUGCCUUUUCUUUACCCAAUGCCAGCCAUCAUUCCUAGAUUCCUGUGUUCAGUGAAUAUUACCAUUAUCUACAUGGCAAAAGAAAUGUAUUGAAAUCUUUUCUGACUUGUUUCUUCUUCUUAGACUUCUUACAUCCAAUUAUUCUGUCUAAUUGAUUUACUGACUAUGGCUCUGUCCUCUCCAUCAAUCACUUAAGUUUAGACUCCACCAUUGUUUGUCUAUAUAACCAUAGAAGUCAAAUAUAUAUCUGGUCUUCUUGUUUAUACUGUUGCCUUCUUCCAGUGCAUUAUUCCCACUGCUGCCAAAUUUGUUUUUCUAAAGUGUAAAUGUAUUGGUUCUCCCUUACUUAUGUUCUCUCCUAUUGUACCCCUUCUUGACUCUUGUUGCCACCCAGUUCAUUCCAUCUUCUUCCUUGGUGCUAUUUGCAGUUUCCAGGAAAGGACAUGGACAUAUGUCUCUCCCACUUAGAAUAAAUAUACCCUGCUCUUCUUUAUUUCAACAUCCCCUUCUCAUCUUUAGAAGACAUGAUGUGCAGGGAAAAGACAUGCCCUCUAAGCAUAGUCUCAGACCUUACUUCUCGAAGAAGAAAUAAUUUAGAAAGUACAUGAAAACAAAAGAAAAUGAGAACACAACAAACGGUCCAAAAUCUGUGAGACACAGUGAAAGCCAUUCUAAGAGGGAAAUAUACAGUGAUACAGGUCUACCUCAAGAAACAAGAGAAAACUCAAAUUACAAUCUAACUUUACACCUAAAGGAAUUAGAAAAGAAUAAAACAAAGCCUAGGGUGAGUAGAAGGAAAGAGAAGUGCAGAGCAGAAAUAAAUGACAUAGGGACUUAAAAAAAUCAGAUACCAAGAGCUCUUUCUUUGAAAAGAUCAACAAAAUUGGUUAAGCCCUUAGCCAGACUCAUCAAGAAAAAAAAAA
rnacentral:lncRNA from 1 species